AAAAAUUUCCUAUAAAAAUAGUGAAUUUUGAAGUGUCAGGCUAUAAUAUACUGGUACUAAUUUCCCUUGCCCAUAUGACAGUACUUUUCCUCGGUGAUUCUAUUCGAAAGAGGAACAUAAGCUUUUUAUUUGGGAAGCUACAGAAAUUGACUAGUUGUUAUUUAAAGCAACAUGAUUUUUGCAAAGAUGGUAUCUGGCCAGCAUGAUACAGUCAAUUUGCUUAACCCAGCCGAGACAGACCAGCAUGCUUGAAGUACUUUGAAGGCAGAAUUAUUAUGGCAAUGCAGAAUUAUCUUGUCACAUCAUGGUAGAAGCACAGUGUUGACCGAUGCAAAGCACAUGAUGUAUGAAGAAACACUUGAAAAUGUGACCAUUUUUACAGAGUCUACAGCACUUGACUUUCUUAAGACAGUGAGUGGCCUUUCUACUCUUGGUAUGCUAGGAAGUAUAUCAGGUAUGAAAUACAAACAUUAAACGGUCAAUGUUCCAUGGUAGUUUUAUAAGUAGUAGCUAGGAAGCACACAAAGGUGUUAUGAAACCAAAGCCAAACUUGCUUUGGACUAAGAAGCAAAGUGAGUUGGUGAAAACCUGAUCCUACCAGAGAGCACAUACGACUUGCACAAGUCAGAAGACAUGAAAUGUGAUCAAAACAUAGCCAUGGAAAGUAGUAGCAGUGGUAGGAAAUUGGUAACCUAUCCAUGAGAGAUUUCACAGUGUACUGUCACAUCCCAAUAUGN
rnacentral:lncRNA from 1 species